rnacentral:rRNA from 1 species
AUUGAACGCUGGCUGCAGGCUUAACACAUGCAAGUCGAGCGGUAACAGGAGAAGCUUGCUUCUUGCUGACGAGCGGCGGACGGGUGAGUAAUACUUAGGAAUCUGCCCAGUAGUGGGGGAUAGCUCGGGGAAACUCGAAUUAAUACCGCAUACACCCUACGGGGAAAAGGGGGCGCUUGCGCUCUCGCUAUUGGAUGAGCCUAAGUCGGAUUAGCUAGUUGGUGGGGUAAAGGCCUACCAAGGCGACGAUCUGUAGCUGGUCUGAGAGGAUGAUCAGCCACACCGGGACUGAGACACGGCCCGGACUCCUACGGGAGGCAGCAGUGGGGAAUAUUGGACAAUGGGGGCAACCCUGAUCCAGCCAUGCCGCGUGUGUGAAGAAGGCCUUUUGGUUGUAAAGCACUUUAAGCAGUGAAGAAGACUCUAUGGUUAAUACCCAUAGACGAUGACAUUAGCUACAGAAUAAGCACCGGCUAACUCUGUGCCAGCAGCCGCGGUAAUACAGAGGGUGCAAGCGUUAAUCGGAAUUACUGGGCGUAAAGCGAGCGUAGGUGGCUUGAUAAGUCAGAUGUGAAAUCCCCGGGCUUAACCUGGGAACUGCAUCUGAUACUGUUAGGCUAGAGUAGGUGAGAGGGAGGUAGAAUUUCAGGUGUAGCGGUGAAAUGCGUAGAGAUCUGAAGGAAUACCGAUGGCGAAGGCAGCCUCCUGGCAUCAUACUGACACUGAGGUUCGAAAGCGUGGGUAGCAAACAGGAUUAGAUACCCUGGUAGUCCACGCCGUAAACGAUGUCUACUAGUCGUUAGGGAACUUGAUUCCUUAGUGACGCAGCUAACGCAAUAAGUAGACCGCCUGGGGAGUACGGCCGCAAGGUUAAAACUCAAAUGAAUUGACGGGGGCCCGCACAAGCGGUGGAGCAUGUGGUUUAAUUCGAUGCAACGCGAAGAACCUUACCUGGUCUUGACAUAUCUAGAAUCCUGCAGAGAUGCGGGAGUGCCUUCGGGAAUUAGAAUACAGGUGCUGCAUGGCUGUCGUCAGCUCGUGUCGUGAGAUGUUGGGUUAAGUCCCGCAACGAGCGCAACCCUUUUCCUUAGUUACCAGCGGUUUGGCCGGGGACUCUAAGGAUACUGCCAGUGACAAACUGGAGGAAGGCGGGGACGACGUCAAGUCAUCAUGGCCCUUACGACCAGGGCUACACACGUGCUACAAUGGUAGGUACAGAGGGCAGCUACACAGCGAUGUGAUGCGAAUCUCAAAAAGCCUAUCGUAGUCCAGAUUGGAGUCUGCAACUCGACUCCAUGAAGUCGGAAUCGCUAGUAAUCGCGGAUCAGAAUGCCGCGGUGAAUACGUUCCCGGGCCU